GCUGCUUCUGAAGGCAUUAAGGUGAUACAUUUGUUUAGAAAUUUGAGUCUCAUAGGAAAAAUUGAAUUGUUGACAUUUUGACUUGCUGCCAAUUGCACUCAAAUUUUGCAUUUUCUUCAUUAAAAAAUGUAAAAUUUAAACUUUAUUUUCACUGAUACAUUUUCAAUAUUUUUAUCCUAAAGAAACUGUUGGAUUCAGAUUAAUGUUCUAUCUUUAUAUUUGCAUGAGAAGGGGCUUCUUGGUUCUUUACUGAAAAAAGACACAGGUUGACUACAGGUAAUGGUAUAGUGGAGUAGUGGUCUCAGAAGUGUGGUAAUAUAAGUACCUGUAAAUUAUUAUUAUUUUUAUUUUAAUAUAUAUCACUUAAGUUAAUUUCUUGUUGUAAAACCACUACUAUUUUCAAUGAUUUCAUUAUCUCUUACCAGAACUUGUACAUAAAUGGUCCUUGUAGAUCAUGCACCCUGCCACUUUUAUUCUUCCUCUCGACAAUCUUUAAUUUUUCUGCCUUUAAGAAUUAUCUGAGGGUGAAAUUUUAUUUUAUGUUUUUUUUUUUAUGUAGAAAUUAAUGACAUAAUAUUCUUUGUCAAAAUCACAAAGCAUGU
rnacentral:misc_RNA from 1 species